UACGGGGGGGGCAAGCGUUGUUCGGAAUUACUGGGCGUAAAGGGCUCGUAGGCGGCCAACUAAGUCAUACGUGAAAUCCCUCGGCUUAACCGGGGAACUGCGUCUGAUACUGGAUGGCUUGAGUUCGGGAGAGGGAUGCGGAAUUCCAGGUGUAGCGGUGAAAUGCGCAGAUAUCAGGAAGAACACCAAUGGCGAAAGCAGCCCUCUGGGACGGUACUGACGCUGAGACGCGAAAGCGUGGGGAGCGAACAGG
rnacentral:rRNA from 1 species